UAUUAAAAUAUUAAGAGUUUACGGUGGAUGCCUUGGCUCUGUCAGUCGAUGAAGGACGCGGCAAGCUGCGAAAAGUUCCGGGGAGUUGCAAGCAAACUUUGAUCCGGAAAUAUCCGAAUGGGGAAACCCUGUCGGGAAAAACCCGACAAUCUUAACCCGAAUCAAAUAGGGUUAAAGAAGUAAACGCGGGGAAGUGAAACAUCUCAGUACCCGCAGGAAGAGAAAACAAGCAAGUGAUUCCCUGAGUAGUGGUGAGCGAACGGGGAAGAGCCUAAACCGUUUGUAGUCAAAAGAUGAUCCUAUUAUACAAACGGGGUUGUAGGAUUAAGUUGCAGAGAAUGGUCAUAUUCUUUGGAGAAGUUACAAAAUAAUUUGUUAGCUGAAAAAGACUGGAAAGUCUUUGCGAUACAGGGUGAUAGUCCCGUAAGCGAAAACAAAUUAUCUUCUUGGAUUUAAUCCUGAGUAGGGCGGAGCACGUGGAAUUCCGUCUGAAUCUGCCAGGACCAUCUGGUAAGGCUAAAUACUGAACAGAGACCGAUAGCGGACAAGUACCGUGAGGGAAAGGUGAAAAGUACCCCGGGAGGGGAGUGAAAUAGAAUCUGAAACCGUAUAACUUACAAAGGUGUAGUGGGGCUAUGUUUAAUAGAAAUGUUACCUAGUAAUUGAUUUGUUAAAACAGCCUUCCUGCGUGCCUUUUGUAGAAUGAGCCGGCGAGUUACUAUGUGAUGCAAGGUUAAGAACUUAAGGUUCGGAGCCGAAGCGAAAGCGAGUCCUAAUAGGGCGCAUAAUAUUUUUACUGUUUAUAUCCGAAAGGUUAUAAACGGUUAAGAUAUUCAGUAUUAUGUAGUAGACGCGAAACCAAGUGAUCUAAUCAUGGUCAGAUUGAAGCUUCGGUAAAACGAAGUGGAGGAUCGAACUAAUGUAGGUUGAAAACUACUUGGAUGAACUGUGAUUAGGGGUGAAAGGCUAAUCAAACUUGGUGAUAGCUCGUUCUCCCCGAAAUAUAUUGAGGUAUAGCCUCGUAACGUACGGCAUGGGGGUAGAGCACUAGAUGGGCUAGGGGUCCUACCAGAUUACUGAACCCAACUAAACUCCGAAUACCAUGGCCGCCAAUUACGGGAGUCAGACUGCGGGUGCUAAGAUUCGUAGUCGAGAGGGAAACAGCCCAGAUCAUCAGUUAAGGUCCCAAAAGUAAACUAAGUGGUAAAGGAUGUGAAAUUGCCCAGACAGCCAGGAAGUUGGCUUAGAAGCAGCCAUCUUUUAAAGAGUGCGUAAUAGCUCACUGGUCAAGUGAUUUUGCGCCGAAACAUUUCCGGGGCUAAAGUUUACUACCGAAACUAUGGACUCAGAAGCAAUUCUGAUUGGUAGGGGAGCGUUCAAACGGCGUUGAAGCCAUACCGUAAGGAGUGGUGGAGCGGUUUGAAGUGAUUAUGCCGGCUUGAGUAACGUUAAAAUAGGUCUAAAUACCUAUUCGCCGAAAGCCUAAGGUUUCCUAGCGCAACGAUAACCGGCGCAGGGUUAGUCGGCCCCUAAGACGAGGCGGAAACGCGUAGUCGAUGGGAAACAGGUUAAUAUUCCUGUACCGUCUAAUGAUCGUUUGACGAUGGGGUGACGCAGACAGUUAAGUUGGCGUGUUAUUGGAUUCACGUUUGCUUUUGUAGGUAGGAUUUAUAGGUAAAUCCGUAAGUCCGUUAAUCUGAGGAAAGCGACGAAGUCGGUUUCGGCCGGCGAAGCAAUGUAUGCUAUACUGCCAAGAAAUAACCUCUAAGAAGAUUAUUAGAUGACCGUACCAUAAACCGACACAGGUAGGCGAGGAGAAUAUCCAAAGGCGCUCGAGAGAACUCUUGUUAAGGAACUCGGCAAAUUAACCCCGUAACUUCGGGAUAAGGGGAGCCUGAGUAGUGUGAAAACAUCUUUUAAUCGAAGCGUGUUCAGCAUGAAAAGGCCGCAGAAAAGUGGCCCAAGCGACUGUUUAGCAAAAACACAGCGCUUUGCUAAGUCAUUAAGACGAUGUAUAAGGCGUGACACCUGCCCGGUGCUGGAAGGUUAAGGAAGGGGGUUAGGACGCAAGUCUGAAGCUCUUGACUGAAGCCCCAGUAAACGGCGGCCGUAACUAUAACGGUCCUAAGGUAGCGAAAUUCCUUGUCGGGUAAGUUCCGACCUGCACGAAUGGUGUAACGACUUGGGCACUGUCUCAACAAGUGACUCGGUGAAAUAGUAUUUCUGGUGAAGAUGCCAGAUUCCCGCAGCUAGACAGGAAGACCCUGUGAACCUUUACUGUAACUUCAUAUUGAGUUUGAAUGAAUUAUGUACAGGAUAGAUGGGAGACUGUGAAGCGGGCGCGUCAGCGUUCGCGGAGUCGUCCUUGGGAUACCAUCCUUAAUUUAUUUAGAUUCUAACCCUAUUCCGUGAAACCGGAUAGGGAACAGUGUGUGGUGGGCAGUUUGACUGGGGCGGUCACCUCCCAAAAGGUAACGGAGGUGUACAAAGGUUCCCUCAGCACGGUCGGUAAUCGUGCGAAGAGCGUAAAGGUAUAAGGGAGCUUGACUGCGAGACCGACGGGUCGAGCAGGUACGAAAGUAGGUCUUAGUGAUCCGGUGGUUCUGUAUGGAAGGGCCAUCGCUCAACGGAUAAAAGGUACUCCGGGGAUAACAGGCUGAUCCUAUCCAAGAGCUCACAUCGACGAUAGGGUUUGGCACCUCGAUGUCGGCUCAUCGCAUCCUGGGGCUGUAGAAGGUCCCAAGGGUUGGGCUGUUCGCCCAUUAAAGCGGUACGCGAGCUGGGUUCAGAACGUCGUGAGACAGUUCGGUCCCUAUCUGCUGCGGGCGUAGGAUAUUUGAGGGGAGCUGACUUUAGUACGAGAGGACCGAGUCGGACGAACCUAUGGUUUACCAGUUGUCGCGCCAGCGGCACCGCUGGGUAGCUAUGUUCGGAAGGGAUAACCGCUGAAAGCAUCUAAGCGGGAAGCCCACCCCAAGAUAAGAUAUCCCCGCGGGAAAUUAAUUUUGAAUUUUGUCUUCGGAUUUUAGGAAAGAUUAAUGGAACGUCUAAAGACCCCUGAGAGAUCAUCAGGUUGAUAGGCUGGAAGUAUAAGGGCAGUAAUGUCUUAAGCUGACCAGUACUAAUAGGUCGUGAGUUUUAAUAUU
rnacentral:rRNA from 1 species